UGGAAACGACGUCUAAUACUGGAUAUGAUCACCGGCCGCAUGGUCUGGUGGUGGAAAGAUUUUUUGGUUGGGGAUGGACUCGCGGCCUAUCAGCUUGUUGGUGAGGUAAUGGCUCACCAAGGCGACGACGGGUAGCCGGCCUGAGAGGGUGACCGGCCACACUGGGACUGAGACACGGCCCAGACUCCUACGGGAGGCAGCAGUGGGGAAUAUUGCACAAUGGGCGAAAGCCUGAUGCAGCAACGCCGCGUGAGGGAUGACGGCCUUCGGGUUGUAAACCUCUUUUAGUAGGGAAGAAGCGAAAGUGACGGUACCUGCAGAAAAAGCACCGGCUAACUACGUGCCAGCAGCCGCGGUAAUACGUAGGGUGCAAGCGUUGUCCGGAAUUAUUGGGCGUAAAGAGCUCGUAGGCGGUUUGUCGCGUCUGCUGUGAAAUCCCGAGGCUCAACCUCGGGCUUGCAGUGGGUACGGGCAGACUAGAGUGCGGUAGGGGAGAUUGGAAUUCCUGGUGUAGCGGUGGAAUGCGCAGAUAUCAGGAGGAACACCGAUGGCGAAGGCAGAUCUCUGGGCCGUUACUGACGCUGAGGAGCGAAAGCGUGGGGAGCGAACAGGAUUAGAUACCCUGGUAGUCCACGCCGUAAACGUUGGGCGCU
rnacentral:rRNA from 1 species